UACGGAGGGUGCAAGCGUUACCCGGAAUCACUGGGCGUAAAGGGCAUGUAGGCGGUUGCUUAAGUCCGAAUUUAAAGACCGAGGCUCAACCUCGGGAGGGGGUUUGAGACUGGGCAGCUGGAGGACUGGAGGGGGGAGUGGAAUUCUCGGUGUAGCGGUGGAAUGCGUAGAUACCGGGAGGAACACCAGUGGCGAAGGCGGCUCUCUGGACAGUGCGUGACGCUGAGGUGCGAAAGUGUGGGGAGCAAACCGG
rnacentral:rRNA from 1 species